ACACUCCAUGGGUGGUAUAUGUAUUAGGUCAACAGAGCUCCUUCCAACAAACAAAGGAAAGGCGCGGUUGGCGUAGUGGUCAACGCGUUCGCUCUUCAAACAGCACUUCGAAUACCUACGGUGUUCGUUGU